GGAGAGAAGGAGCCUUGCUGCUAGGAGCAGUGAGAGUCACCAGGAGGAGAGGCAGUAUUCUCUCCCACAAGGGAGGAAAAAUAGGCUAAAAAGGACUGGUGGAGAGAAGGAACAUACUUCCCCUGUGUCCCAAGGGGGCCACAUUACCCAAGCCUGUCUCACCAGGGCUAAAAGCAGCAGAGGCUGGGGAGACCGAGAAGGUGCCUUGCCACAGUAACAAUAGAAAAGUACAGAUGCAGUCUGGGAAGUAGCACAUCAAUUUUCUUCCCCACACACUCCACCGAUGUGCCUCAAACCCUGACCUGGAAAAACUGUGGAGUAGAAUGUCAGAUCUCGUAUAUGUUGAUGGAACCCUACUAGCAUGUAUUAGAACCUUGAAUGAAAAUACUGAAGUCCACUGUGGCAAAUUCUCAUAAUGUUUUCUGCAUUGCUUAAAGGCCCAUCUCCUGGCAUCAUGAAUCUCAGCUUUUAUUAGGAAAAAAGUUCCUAACCCUCCUGGCUGCAGAGAAAAGCCUGAAAAUGUGAAAUGCUCAACUGCGUGACUUGUAAAAACAAAUUUUUGGGGAGAUUAGGAGUUCAAUAUUUGAUUUUGAAUGCUUGGGGAUGACAAUCCUGAAAUUCUACUGACUCACUGGGACAAUGUAACUCAUUAGCUCCACACUGGGUACAAGGAUGGAUGAGAUUGACUAUCUGGGAGAGGGCAUUAGGGAGGUAGGACAGAGAGUGUCCUUUAGGGAAAGAGCUUGGGAGCAACAAAGCUCGGGGAGAAACUCUAGUUUGAAGUUUGUUACUGAGCCACCAGUAAAGCCAAGCCACAGGAAAGGAAUGAGUUUAGACACUAACUCAUAGUGUUUGAACUCUGGGGAAGACACUCAAUCCAUUGAGAGGAG